GAUGAACGCUGGCGGCGUGCCUAAUACAUGCAAGUCGAGCGAACAGAUGAGGAGCUUGCUCCUCUGACGUUAGCGGCGGACGGGUGAGUAACACGUGGAUAACCUACCUAUAAGACUGGGAUAACUUCGGGAAACCGGAGCUAAUACCGGAUAAUAUAUUGAACCGCAUGGUUCAAUAGUGAAAGACGGUUUUGCUGUCACUUAUAGAUGGAUCCGCGCCGCAUUAGCUAGUUGGUAAGGUAACGGCUUACCAAGGCAACGAUGCGUAGCCGACCUGAGAGGGUGAUCGGCCACACUGGAACUGAGACACGGUCCAGACUCCUACGGGAGGCAGCAGUAGGGAAUCUUACGCAAUGGGCGAAAGCCUGACGGAGCAACGCCGCGUGAGUGAUGAAGGUCUUCGGAUCGUAAAACUCUGUUAUUAGGGAAGAACAAAUGUGUAAGUAACUAUGCACGUCUUGACGGUACCUAAUCAGAAAGCCACGGCUAACUACGUG
rnacentral:rRNA from 1 species